UUACAUACCAUAAAAACGGUUUCGGCGCUCCUAAAACGUUCCGGCGACGCGUUAAAAAUGCACAAAAGAGAGAGAAAUAAGCGCGUAUGUGUGUACCCGAUAAAAAGAAACCGUCGUCGGGAUUGUAAAACUUACACGGGGACAUUGAACGUUCGAAUUCGUGCUGCUUGUCGCGUUACCUAUACACGCGUAAACACAUGCGUAUCAUACCGCGUAAUGAUAACCCGCGUGUACACGUGUUACCGGUCGACAGUUGGCCGCCUACCUUGUAUUGUUUUGUUUAUCAGCCAAUCGUACGAGAACAAGAUUUGACAAAACAUAACCUACUUGUUGGUCCAAACGUGAUACUGCUCCAACGUAGUUAUUGUGUCUACAGAGUGUGCGAACCUACGGGCCUACGCGUGAUAUUAUUAGAGUCUACGGUAAACGAAAGCUGGUUUAGAUACAGCUGCUGGGGGAAAACGGCAAAACGCAACCUACUUGUUGGUCCAAACCUGAUAUACUGCUCCAACGAAGUUUGUAAGUGUCCUAAAGUGUAUACCUAAGACCGCCGAUUCCAAAUAUCGCUAAACAUUUCAAAAUCGCGAUUUUCGCGUAUCAAGGGCGAUUCACGAAGAACGCAGGCCUUGAAAUGCCCGGCAUUUUUCGCGACAGCAACACCGACAACCUGCCGCCGUCGUUGAGGUUCCGCGUUGACGCGCGUUUUCCCGUCAUUAUUAGCGUAUUUGGCCCGUGCUGUACCACGAGCGGAUUGAUUUCGUUAUUCAUUUCGCGAGUUUUCCGCGCAGACGUACAAAAACAAACCACAAAUUCGAUUUGUAGCCCCGUUAAAUCCGGCGUUCAUAUUAAGCGCGCAUUACCCUGU